UACGGAGGAUCCAAGCGUUGUCCGGAUUUAUUGGGUUUAAAGGGUGCGUAGGCGGAUGAUUAAGUCAGUGGUGAAAGCCGGCAAGCUCAAACUGUCGAACUGCCAUUGAAACUGAUCGUCUUGAAUGUAGUAGAGGUAGGCGGAAUGUAUCAUGUAGCGGUGAAAUGCUUAGAUAUGAUACAGAACACCAAUUGCGAAAGCAGCUUACGUAUGCUAUUAUUGACGCUGAGGCACGAAAGCGUGGGGAUCAAACAGG
rnacentral:rRNA from 1 species